rnacentral:rRNA from 1 species
UACGAAGGGGGGCUAGCGUUGUUCGGAAUUACUGGGCGUAAAGGGCGCGUAGGCGGCGUGUCAAGUCAGGCGUGAAAGCCCCGGGCUCAACCUGGGAACCGCGCUUGAGACUGGCAUGCUCGAGUUCGGGAGAGGAUGGUGGAAUUCCCAGUGUAGAGGUGAAAUUCGUAGAUAUUGGGAAGAACACCGAUGGCGAAGGCAGCCAUCUGGACCGACACUGACGCUGAGGCGCGGAAAAGCGUGGGGAGCAAACAGGG